UUUUUUAUUUUUAUUAUAAAUUUCAAAAACUCCAAAAAUAUUUUAUUUAUUUUUUUUUGUGUGCUCAUUCGUUUAUGGGGAUAUAUUUGAUGACUUACUUAAGUGUCCCUAGAAGCAUGCUGCUGUAUGUGUCCCAAGCCUCAUAAGAUUUUGAAUAAUAGCCUUCAUGACCUGGUAUACACAAACCUUGUCUUCCCAAUAAGGCUAACACAUUUAUUCUAAUCGUGAGCUACCUCACUCUCUUCUCACAUGAGUUAAGAGUUUCCUGUUUGGUCCUUAUUUUCGCAGCAGAGGUACUAUGUUUUCUUACACCAUCCCCAUUACACUUCUCCAUUACAUUCGUUUCAUCACUGUAACCCUUGAGACUCUCAGAAACUACCACUGAGGUUUAUGGUUAUACAACAUCUGUGUUUAUGAUCUUAGUUUCGUGCCACUACGAGCUGAGUGAAACCCAAAAUUCAACACCAACGAAUUGACGGUGACCAAUUAAUUUGAUCAAGUUUUCACCAAUGAAUUGGAGAAUGUACCUUCAUGGAAUCUCAAUUUUUCUUUUGCGUGAUUUCAACGAAAUUGUUACACACCAUAACAUUUCUUCCCAAGGGAUCCAGUUUUAAAUUUUUAUCUGAGAUUUCAUAUUAAUCCAAGCCACUACAAAAUCAACUCCUACCUACUUGUUCAACAGACUACACCGGUCUCACAAGUACUUUGUUCACUUUCUUUCUUAUAUCAAGAAUUGAAUUGAUGAAUCCAAGCGAAAACACCCUUAAUUAGCCUAAUUAAAAAAUGCCUUUGAACAUUUAUUAAUAAAUGUUUGAUCGUAAUUCAACGGGAUUCCACACUAACACUUUGAGGUCUCUCUUGACCUUGAAGGAAGAGAUUCGUGCCCGGGAUCAUCAGUUUCGUGUCAUUAUUGACAUCACACAUUAUCCUAAAAAGAGUUGCUUUAUUUCUUUUUCAUUUACACUCUUUGCACGAAAAUCCUAGAUUUUCAAAACUUCUGUUACUAAUUAUUUUACAGGUUGGAUUAUUACUGGAUGGUUAAUAAUGAAGUUGUGGUCAAAAACUAUCCACGUGGUUCAUUUAUUCUACAAUGCCGUUUAAAAGGGAUAAGACGAAAGGUUGCUGACGCGGCAGGAGUUCAAAGGAUAAAUAUUCAAACGACGAUAAAAAGGAGGGCGCGUGAAUUUGAAUCGGCCGCGCUUUUUCUGACACUUCUGGACGCGUGUGCGAUAUUGAAACGUCAUCAAUCCGGCAUUAAAGGCGCGUGUGGAAAUGGAAACGGUUCUUCUCUCUGAACCGGCGCUUAUUGGGCGGCGUAAUCCUAGGAAUCUGACACUCUCUCUCCUACGUGAUCAUCGCACGCCCCAACUGUCACCAAUCAGUCACUCAAAAAACCCGCUUCGUAUUUCCAUAAGAGAUUUGAAACGAUUUUUCUCUCUCCUAUCACCCACUAUAAAAGGCCGUCAACACCACCUUUUACCUCUUUACUGCCUCCAUAAUUUCCAAAGCAAAAAUACUCCCAAACACUCUCCCGUUCAUCUUCUUCUCCAAACCUGCAACAAUGGCUGAAUCUUCUUCUGUUCAUGCAACUUCUCAGAUUCUUCCCAUCCGACCCCAACAAUGCCUAGUCAUUGAUCUGAACCCACUGGCGUAUGAUUCCUACAUGUCGCCGGUCAUAGAAUGCCUCAAGUACUCCCAGCUUGCUCCUGCACUGUCAAGAAUUGAAACGGUGCCAAUGGUGGCCUUAUCACAGGUCUAUGCGACGGCUUACUACGACAAGGACAUCGACCGGGUAUUCUUUGAAGUGGCAGAACACAAGACUUCGAUUUCUCGCCCCCGUUUCUGCACUAUGUUAGGGUUUGCUGCUGACCCAUCGCGAGUUCACCCGGAGACGAUUCCGGUUGGGAUGUUGUACAACAUGUUUUACAACAUGGGCUACACAGAGGUUCUCACCUCCGUCGCCAAGUUUAAGAAGUCCUGCCUACCGCCCCAGUGGAAUGGGUUAUUUACAGUUCUCUUCAAGGGACUGUCAGAGAGGAGCUCAGGAUCUGACGGUGCAAGUCGUCUUUUCCUUUCGAUAAUGUAUGGGGUGUACAAUGGGAUAAACCUGGACUAUGGGUUUGUCCUUUGGCAACAGCUGAUUCAGAGCCUCUCUUCCUCUUCCCGACACUCUGAGGUGUCGUUGGCCCGGUUCUGGAUCUUGAUCACAAGAUGGGCCAUGGACAAGUUCAAUGUUCCAACUGCCGAUGGUGCAUCGAUGUCUUCUAUUGGUACGUUUCAUACCAAGAAGAUCAUCGUAUCCGAUGCAUCAAAAUUCUCAUUCAUUGGCUCUAUCCCGGAGUCGAUGUAUGCCGAUGUGCCCGCCGAUAGCAGACUGAUCAGGACGAUCAAGGAGUUUAGGCCAACUGGUCCGAGGGAACUGACACCGGACAUGCUGCGAUCGAUUCAUGAUGCCGAUAAACCGGUGGCCAGGGGCAAAAAGGCAGAGAAGGGGAAGCAAGUGUCCAAAGCUCCAAAGGGACCUUCUCCCAAGAAGCGAAAACAACCGAAGGCUGCUUCAUCCCCACAGCCGAAAAGGAGGAAGACCCAACAGAAGCGAAAGCUCGUUAUUCCCUCCUCUUCAAGCGAAUCCGAAGGUGGGAGUUCGGACUCUGAAGGAUCACAAGGAGACGAAUCUCCUCAACGAGGCAACACACCACCUCGGUCCCCAACCCCAGAGAUGGAACUUCAUCAAUCCCCAGUUCCUUCACCUCCACCCACAAUUCCUAUUUCCAUUCCCACCAUAAACCCCACUAUUCCCCCAACCUCAUUCCCUAUACCUCCACCCAUAUUCACCACAUCAACCGAAACACCACCAGUUACCGAAACCCCUCCUGUAACCGAACCACCACAAACUCAAACACAUACAACCGACCCUACCCAUACACAACCACCACCUGAAACUAACCCCCCACCCACUCAACCUGAACCAACAAAACCCAUAACACCCCCAGCUUCACCACCACCUCAAUCUCCAGAAGACGCCUCCGAUGGCGGUGAUCAAUACCUUGGUGGUGAUCACAUGAACUUCGAUUCGGUCUACUAUAGUCCGUUUCAAGUUCAGAGUGAUGAGGAGGAUGAUGCUCCAGUGACAAAGAAGCAUCUUCGCGAGCUUAACGAGAAGGUUGAUCAACUUCUCGCCUCCUCUUCCAACCAGCAGUCAUCUUUGUCUGAAGCUGCCCUUCAGAAGAUCGUUGACGCCUUCUCCAGGGCUCAACAUGAUUCCGUGGCCUCAGCAACUGCUGCUAUCGACGCCUCCACCCGAGCCUGUGAGGCAGCGACCGAAAAAGUCGAUAAACUAUUCAAUGACGCUUCUGUCCUGCUGCAGUCUUUGCAGGAGAGCGCCGAAGCCACUAAGACAACUCUGGAACCAGUUGUUCAACAAUUGGCCAAGUUUGUCUCGACGGAGCUGUCUUCGUUCGCUACUCUCAGACAACAUCUUAGCGACGACAACUCGGCACUUCGUGCCUCCAUCGAUGCCCGCCUGGCAAAGCUACAAGAGGAUCUUGCGGCAGAAAAUUCUCUGAUGGACGUCUUGGCGAGUAAGACUACCGCCCUUAAGGUCAAGAGCACGCAGCUUUCCAACUCCCAGCAACAAUUGGAAGCUCUUCGAUCCGAGAGGGAGGUCAUAAAGACGUGUGUUUCGGAUGUCCACGCAGCUCUAUCAAACAUCCUGGAAGCACACGACCCCAUCCUUAACCACUCAGUGAGGCGUACCCUCGCUGAAAAACUCUCUCCGGCCAUGGACCUUUUAAGCAAAAUUGAAGGCCUACCGAGUUUCGUGUCCAUUCCGAAACAAGGGGGAGAUGAGAAGAAAGGAUCGAAACCACCUCCUUCCUCCAAAGCUACUCACACAACCGAACCACCCCCAACUGGUCAUGCCUCGGGUUCGGGUGUGAAGAACAAGGGCAAAAACAUAGCUGAGGGAGGAGAUGAAGAUGAAGAUGAAGACAAGGAGACCAUUGCGGACAUGUUAAAAAGAAAGAACAGUCGCAAUGCUGAAGACGAUGCCAGUCGUGUGGCGCGUGAGGCUGAAGAAGCCGAACGAAAGCAAAAAGAAGCCCACGAUCUCCUUGAGAGCCGAAAGUUGCUCUUCCCUGCCUGGACCAGGGAUCGUAUGAUAAAAGAGGCCAUAGAGACUCCAAGCAUACUAUGGCUCGAGCCGGUGAUAUCAUUCGACUGCAACAACUCUAUCGAUUCGCAGUUUGAUAUGCCGCUGACUCGAAAGGCGUUCAUCUUCCACGCCUUCUCUAACAUUUUUGAAGUCCCGCAUCCGAACGAUGAGCUUGACAGGGAGCUCAUUGACUUCUACCUGGAGGCCGCUCGCCCUCAAUACCUUACAUGGAGCGCCCAGAAGAUUGUUAAUGUUCGGGUGCUGAAGCCUUAUGCCGUGGGGAGAUUCACAAACGUUAAGUUCAAGCUUAUUCGUGGAUCUGCAAGAACUGCUCACAUUAUCACCCUGGCGGAUCUGCCGAAUCUGAAUCCUCAUGACUGGAUAGUCUUGUACAAUAUCCUGCUGACAGAUGAAUCCGAAUAUGGUCCCAUCAUAGACCAUGUCAAAAGGAUGUUGGCUUGCUACAUCAUGGAGGUUGCCCUAAUGGAUCAGGAGGUCGCCACAGUUUUUAAGAAGAAACCGAAAGUCGCACCUGUGGGAUCGGCCAGUGAUCUAAAUCAAAUGCAAAUGGGUAAGAUUGAUCCGAGGCGAAACUCAGUGAUGUUCACUAGAGCCGAAGGACAGAAAUGUCUCUUCGCUUUAGCUGACAAACAUCUUUACACCACAGCUUGCUUGGAGCACGUCUUAUCAAUUAUCAAGCGGUGUAAAGAGAAUUCGGCUGAUGACAUCAAGUACUUCAAUGAUAUGAUCAAUUGGUACAUCCGGUUUAGACAGACCAUCCUCUCCAUAACCAAGUGUCUGUUUAGCACCGUGAAGAAGAAGGUACCAGCUUCAGCUGCCGGCCCAAGUAAGAAGUGAAGGUCUCGCUCCAAAUUGACGCAAAGGGGGAGAUUGUUGGGCUGAAGAUUGUUUUGUUGUUGCGUCUUUUGGGCUCGUUAGUUUAGCCAUGUAUACUCCGGUUUGGGCCUGUCCAACCGAGAGCCUUUUAUGUAUUGUAUAUAAGUUAAUGCUUGCAUGCAUACUAGGUUAAGAUUGCAGAGAUAAUCGACAAAGCGAUUCAUCCAGAGUACAAGAUUUUUCUUCAAUCGUUCUUGUAAUCUUCUAAUCCUCUACAGUUGAUGUUCUUAAUCGAGCUCUUCUGAGGAUUUUGUUUAAUCAUUCGACACGUUUGAUUCAAGCUUUCUUGUUCUUAUUAUUGCGUUUUUACUGUUUUAUAUUCAUAUACUUGUUCAAGAUCUAAUCGAUCUUCAUAGAUUAAAAGUUAUUUUUAUCCCUUCAAUUGGUAUCAGAGCAGGAGGCUAUGUAAUCGAUACACAUCUGUUCUGUGAAAAAGAUUUCCAUUAGGGUUUUCCGCAAUCAUCGUUAUUUAUUGAGCCGUCAUCUUAAUUGACGUAUCUUAAUAUUUAUUGUUUUGCCCUAAUCUGCUUUAUUACAAGUCUGAUCUUUGAACAGGUUUUUACGAUCACAAUGGACGCGACGCAAUCAAACCCUAUUAAUAUUUCCAACAGCAUCGGUUCGACGACAAAGAUUCCAAUCUUAUACACCCAUGACUAUGAAGUAUGGGCGCAUCAUUUUGAAGAUUAC
rnacentral:lncRNA from 1 species